rnacentral:rRNA from 1 species
UGGGGAAUUUUGGACAAUGGGCGCAAGCCUGAUCCAGCCAUGCCGCGUGCGGGAAGAAGGCCUUCGGGUUGUAAACCGCUUUUGUCAGGGAAGAAAUCUUCUGAGUUAAUACCUCGGGAGGAUGACGGUACCUGAAGAAUAAGCACCGGCUAACUACGUGCCAGCAGCCGCGGUAAUACGUAGGGUGCAAGCGUUAAUCGGAAUUACUGGGCGUAAAACGUGCGCAGGCGGUUUUGUAAGACAGAGGUGAAAUCCCCGGGCUCAACCUGGGAACUGCCUUUGUGACUGCAAGGCUUGAGUGCGGCAGAGGGGGGAUGGAAUUCCGCGUGUAGCAGUGAAAUGCGUAGAUAUGCGGAGGAACACCGAUGGCGAAGGCAAUCCCCUGGGCCUGCACUGACGCUCAUGCACGAAAGCGUGGGGAGCAAACAGGAUUAGAUACCCUGGUAGUCCACGCCCUAAAACGAUGUCAACUGGUUGUUGGGAAGGUUCCUUCUCAGUAACGUAGCUAACGCGUGAAGUUGACCGCCUGGGGAGUACGGCCGCAAGGUUGAAACUCAAAUGAAUUGAC